rnacentral:rRNA from 1 species
AGCAGCCGCGGUAAUUCCAGCUCCAAUAGCGUAUAUUAAAGUUGUUGCAGUUAAAAAGCUCGUAGUUGAAUUUCGGGGUCAGUAGGUUGGUCAUGCCUUCGGUAUGUACUGGUCUCACUGAUUCCUCCCUCUUGAAGAACUGUAAUGUCAUUAAUUUGGUGUUGCGGGGAAACAGGACUGUUACUUUGAAAAAAUUAGAGUGUUUAAAGCAAGCUCACGCUUGAAUACAUUAGCAUGGAAUAAUGAAAUAGGACGUUCGAUCCUAUUUUGUUGGUUUCUAGGAUUGACGUAAUGAUUAAUAGGGAUAGUUGGGGGCAUUAGUAUUCAAUUGUCAGAGGUGAAAUUCUUGGAUUUAUUGAAGACUAACUACUGCGAAAGCAUUUGCCAAGGAUGUUUUCAUUAAUCAAGAACGAAAGUUAGGGGAUCGAAGACGAUCAGAUACCGUCGUAGUCUUAACCCAUAAACUAUGCCGACUAGGGAUCGGAUGAUGUUAAUUUUUAAUGACUCAUUCGGCGUCCG